rnacentral:rRNA from 1 species
CCUACGGGGGGCAGCAGUGGGGAAUAUUGGACAAUGGGCGAAAGCCUGAUCCAGCCAUGCCGCGUGUGUGAAGAAGGCCUUCGGGUUGUAAAGCACUUUCAGUGGGGAAGAAAGCCUUGGGGCUAAUACCCUCGAGGAAGGACAUCACCCACAGAAGAAGCACCGGCUAACUCCGUGCCAGCAGCCGCGGUAAUACGGAGGGUGCGAUCGUUAAUCGGAAUUACUGGGCGUAAAGCGCGCGUAGGCGGUCUGAUAAGCCGGUUGUGAAAGCCCCGGGCUCAACCUGGGAACGGCAUCCGGAACUGUCAGGCUAGAGUGCAGGAGAGGAAGGUAGAAUUCCCGGUGUAGCGGUGAAAUGCGUAGAGAUCGGGAGGAAUACCAGUGGCGAAGGCGGCCUUCUGGACUGACACUGACGCUGAGGUGCGAAAGCGUGGGUAGCAAACAGGAUUAGAUACCCGGGUAGUC